rnacentral:rRNA from 1 species
UACGUAGGAUGCAAGCGUUGUCCGGAAUUACUGGGCGUAAAGCGCGCGUAGGCGGCUUUGCAAGUCGGGUGUGAAAUCCCCAGGCUUAACCUGGGAACUGCAUUCGAGACUGCAUUGCUAGAGUAUGGGAGAGGGAAGUGGAAUUUCCGGUGUAGCGGUGAAAUGCGUAGAUAUCGGAAGGAACAUCAGUGGCGAAAGCGACUUCCUGGACCAAUACUGACGCUCAUGUGCGAAAGCGUGGGGAGCAAACAGG